AGAAAAGUAAGCUAAUAAAGCUGAUGGGUUCAUACCCCAUAAAUAGAGAAUACCUCUCUUUUCUA
rnacentral:tRNA from 1 species